rnacentral:rRNA from 1 species
AUAACGGUCCUAAGGUAGCGAAAUUCCUUGUCGGGUAAGUUCCGACCUGCACGAAUGGCGUAACGAUGGCCACACUGUCUCCUCCUGAGACUCAGCGAAGUUGAAAUGUUUGUGAUGAUGCAAUCUACCCGCGGCUAGACGGGAAGACCCCAUGAACCUUUACUGUAGCUUUGCAUUGGGCUUUGGAUAAAUUUGUGUAGGAUAGGUGGGAGGCUUUGAAGCGAGGACGCUAGUUCUCGUGGAGCCAACCUUGAAAUACCACCCUGAUUUAUUUGAGGUUCUAACCUUGGCCCGUUAUCCGGGUCGGGAACAGUGCAUGGUAGGCAGUUUGACUGGGGCGGUCUCCUCCCAAAGUGUAACGGAGGAGUACGAAGGUACGCUUGGUACGGUCGGACAUCGUACCUAAAGUGCAAUGGCAAAAGCGUGCUUAACUGCGAGACCGACAAGUCGAGCAGGUGCGAAAGCAGGUCAUAGUGAUCCGGUGGUUCUGUAUGGAAGGGCCAUCGCUCAACGGAUAAAAGGUACUCUGGGGAUAACAGGCUGAUACCGCCCAAGAGUUCAUAUCGACGGCGGUGUUUGGCACCUCGAUGUCGGCUCAUCACAUCCUGGGGCUGUAGCCGGUCCCAAGGGUAUGGCUGUUCGCCAUUUAAAGUGGUACGUGAGCUGGGUUUAAAACGUCGUGAGACAGUUUGGUCCCUAUCUGCCGUGGGCGUUGGAAAUUUGAGGGGGGCUGCUCCUAGUACGAGAGGACCGGAGUGGACGAACCUCUGGUGUACCAGUUGUCACGCCAGUGGCAUAGCUGGGUAGCUAAGUUCGGAAAAGAUAACCGCUGAAAGCAUAUAAGCGGGAAACUUGCCCCGAGAUGAAAUUUCCCUGGAGGGUAACCUCCCUGAAGGGCCGUUCGAGACCAGGACGUUGAUAGGCUGGGUGUGUAAGCGCAGUAAUGUGUUCAGCUAACCAGUACUAAUUGCCC